GGGUAGGAGAUUUCUUCCUUUCCUCUCCAGGUUGCCGUAAACAGCCCACCCACCGCCCAGAGUGGAAAGGGCACAAAGAGACCCAGCCUCCUAGUCUCUCGUACCGGCAUCCAGCCGCCUGCUUAGGGACAGGAAGUCGGCCAUGCCGAGAAGGUCGUUCUGAAUGGAAGUGGAAGGACGGCCACAGAAACGGACAGGAAGUUGGCCAUCCCGGGGAGGUCGGUGUGUAAGACAGUGGAGGACUACUGCGCAUGUGUGACUGGAAGUUGGCAGGCCCUAGGAGUAGGUAACCCAAAACACUCGAAGAGCCACUUGGACCCAUUUACAACCGAAAACAUCUUUUAUGACUCAUGGACUUCUACUCCCAGAAUUCCUGAGUCAGCAUAGCUGGGCUAGCUAGCUCUCUCCUGCCCUUCCUGCUUCCUGCAGAGACGCAGCAAAAGGAGGAGUGCCAUCCAGUAAGCUUUUUAGCUCGUCGGAGAACACUGUGAGUCCACUCUCUUUUUUCACACAC